rnacentral:sRNA from 1 species
GCGUUAGCAAAAUCUAACGUCAGGCGUGAGAACCUGAAUAUGUACAAGGCGACAGUAGACGCCCAAUGCGUCUUUUUU